rnacentral:rRNA from 1 species
AGCAUUCUCUGGUGUUGAAGGCCCUGCAAAGCAGCAUCGCGGUGGCGGAGCGUCGUUUGCGACGCCCAACACACAAAACAAGCGGUGAGUGCUUUGGGGUGGGGUGACUGCGUACCUUUUGUAUAAUGGGUCAGCGACUUAUAUUCUGUAGCAAGGUUAACCGUAUAGGGGAGCCGGAGGGAAACCGAGUCUUAAUUGGGCGUUAAGUUGCAGGGUAUAGACCCGAAACCCGGUGAUCUAGCCAUGGGCAGGUUGAAGGUUGGGUAACACUAACUGGAGGACCGAACCGACUAAUGUUGAAAAAUUAGCGGAUGACCUGUGGCUGGGGGUGAAAGGCCAAUCAAACCGGGAGAUAGCUGGUUCUCCCCGAAAGCUAUUUAGGUAGCGCCUCGUGAAUUCAUCUCCGGGGGUAGAGCACUGUUUCGGCUAGGGGGCCAUCCCGGCUUACCAACCCGAUGCAAACUGCGAAUACCGGAGAAUGUUAUCACGGGAGACACACGGCGGGUGCUAACGUCCGUCGUGAAGAGGGAAACAACCCAGACCGCCAGCUAAGGUCCCAAAGUCAUGGUUAAGUGGGAAACGAUGUGGGAAGGCCCAGACAGCCAGGAUGUUGGCUUAGAAGCAGCCAUCAUUUAAAGAAAGCGUAAUAGCUCACUGGUCGAGUCGGCCUGCGCGGAAGAUGUAACGGGGCUAAACCAUGCACCGAAGCUGCGGCAGCGAACGUAUCACUUAAAGCGAUUCAGCGGGUUACGAUUGACGGAGCGAAGCGACGUCAAAGCGUAUACAAAGUCGAGUCGGUUUAAGGAUACGUUCGUUGGGUAGGGGAGCGUUCUGUAAGCCUGCGAAGGUGGCCUGUGAGGGUUGCUGGAGG